GCCGAGGUGGUGAAAUUGGUAGACACACCGCUUUAAGGGGGCGGCGGAGAAAUCUGUAAGGGUUCGAGUCCCUUCCUCGGCA
rnacentral:tRNA from 1 species